AAGACUAUACUUUCAGGGAUCAUUUCUAUAGUUUGUUAUUAUAUGUGAAUACACAGAUUUUCAGGCGCUAAGCUUUUUGUAUGGAUCACAACUCCUACAUCUAAAGU
rnacentral:snoRNA from 1 species